rnacentral:lncRNA from 1 species
CUUUUAAUAUAUCGAAUAUAGAACCGUGUCCAAAAAAACCUCAAUUCAAACAGAUUUAAAAUCAGUUGAAAAACCUUAAUACUAAUUCCAAAUCACGAAUUUUGAACCGACCGUAUGUGAAUCUCACCGGAGAUCGGAGUAGGGUUGUUGCUUCUGCCUCACCAGAGAUACGAUAGACUCGACAGUCACAAAAUGAUGUUUCCCCAACUAGACUUCACCAGAAAAACUAGAGAACAGAGGGGUUUAGGGAUUUAGGAUGGGUGCGAGUGACUAGGUUCAGCAAAAACUCCGAUUUCGGCGAAAGACUCGCUAAAAACCCCCAAAAGCAGUCGGCCUCCACAUUGUUUUCUCUCUCUUUCUCCUCCGAUUCACUAUUGCAUCUCUCCUGUAAACUAAAAAGGAAGGAGAGAAGAUGAAGAUCUGUGGCCUCCUCCCCUUUUCUUUCUCUGUGUGUAUAUGUGCUAAGAGUGUGUGGAAUUGUUGAUGGUGAGGGUCAGUCUGUGUGCGUUUUUUGCGUGCUCUGUUAAUGAAAAUGUGAGUCUGUUGUACUAUAUUCAAUUCCAAAAUGGAAAAAAUAGAGGUUGUGGGUUUUUGCGUAUACUCCCCUCUAUGAGGUUUUGUGAGGUGUCUUAUAUACCCAUGAAAAAAAAUGAAGGUUUUUU